ensembl:lncRNA
GUGAUGAUGGUGAUGAUGAUGGUGAUGGUGAUGGUAAUGAUGGUGAUGAUAUGAUGAAGAUGAUGGUGGUGGUUGUGAUGGUGGUGGUCAUGAUGGUGAUGAUGUGAUGAAGAUGAUGGUGGUGAUGUGAUGAUGAAGAUGAUGAUGAUGGUGGUGGUGAUGUGGUGAUGAUGAUGGUGGUGGUGGUGAUGAUGCUGAUGAUGAUGAUGGUGGUGGUGAUGUGAUGAUGAUGAUGAUGAUGGUGAUGAUGUGAUGAAGAUGGUGGUGGUGAUGGUGGUGAUGUGAUGAUGAAGAUGAUGGUGAUGUGAUGAUGAAGAUGAUGAUGGUGGUGGUGGUGGUGAUGAAGAUGUGAUGAUGUGAUGAUGAAGAUAAUGGUGGUGGUGGUGAUGUGAUGAUGAAGAUAAUGGUGGUGGUGGUGAUGUGAUGAUGAAGAUGACGGUGGUGGUGGUGGUGAUGUUAUGAUGAAGAUGGUGGUGAUGGUGGUGAUGAUGUGAUGAUGGUGAUGGUGGUGGUGGUGAUGUGGUGAUGAAGAUGAUGAUGUGAUGAUGAAGAUAAUGGUGGUGGUGGUGAUGCGAUGAUGAAGAUGAUGAUGUGAUGAUGAAGAUGAUGGUGAUGGUGAUGAUGUGAUGAUGAAGAUGAUGGUGGUGAUGAUGUGAUGAUGAAGAUGUGAUGAUGAUGAUGGUGAUGAUUAGACAAUUAGACGGUUUUUUAAUUGCUUCUCAUUGUCACUAUAGAAACGAUAAUGUGUUGGAAGGAGCGCGUUAAUGUGAGCCUGCGCCGCUGCCGGAGCUGCUGUUAUCUGUCCAAUCAGAAUCCAGAAUUGAACAGCACGGUUGUAUAAACAGCUUCGGAAAGACGCGAUGAUUAAAAAUAACGCUCCGUACGCGCUGCAGCUGCUCGCGUCUGUGCAAGCCGUCAGUUUGGGUUUUGCUCCAAAUUCGACGUUAACAAAAACAAGCCGUACGCCUUUAGAGCGGCGUUCUGCAGGAAUAAACGCAACCCCACUGUGCGACAGGAACAGGAUCAUUUGUCAGAGAAUAAAAAAGCUGCAGUUCUGUAAAAUCUUUGGGGUUUUUCUCACUUGGCUCCGGAGGCUGUGGACGCGUUUGGAAGGAAAGACUUCGCACCUGGUGCUGUCUGACUUCAUCUCAGCUUUUUACACUAACGCAUGAGCUCACGGACACCUGACACCACCGCUAUCACGAGGAGAGGAGGAGAGGAGAGGAGAGGAGGAAAAGACAAGAGAAGAGAGGAGGAAAAGACAUGAGAGGAGAGGAGAAGAGAGGAGAGGAGAAGAGGAGAGGAGGGGAGACGAGAGAAGAGAAGAGAGGAGAAGAGAGGAGAAGAGAGGAGAAGAGAGGAGCAGAGAAGAGAGGAGAGGAGAGGAGAGGAGAUGAGAAGAGAG